rnacentral:lncRNA from 1 species
AGGUGGGGCCGGGAGCUUCACCCGUGGCGCCUCGAUGGGGCGCCUCUAGCAGGCGGGUGCAGCCUGUCCCGCGUACCCAGGCGUCCUCGGUACCCACGAAACGGAUCCAAAGAGUCUCAACACUAAUGUAACAUCCCACCCUGACCCAUCUUUGCCCUCUGAGAAAAGCGGCCCGAAAUGAGUUGAGUUAUUCAUCCCCACCGCGGAGUCAGGGACAAGGAGCAGUUGAGUGGCCGAGGAGUGAGAGAGAAUCGAAUCCACUCGGGUCCUCCAAGCUGUUGGUUACCCACUUGGGCUUUCACAGCAAAGCUGCCAAAUCCCAGAAUUGAGGCCUCGGUGAAAAGCGCGCUGAGACUUGGGUAGGAGGCCCGGUGGGACCCGCGAGCUUUCUCUCCCAGCCCGAUGCAGCAGUUCAUUAAGCGGCUGUGUUUCCUCCUAACUGGCGAAGGACUCAGGUGGGCGGAGCAGAGCUCAGCUUGGGAGGAGGCGGACGCGAGUAGCUCGGCAGGGGGACUCGCUUGGCUUUCGUGCCAUCCGUGGACACAGUCGCGCGGGUAGGUGACCGGGUUGGAUUUCAAAGUCCAGCAGGAAAUCCUGCCCUCUGGGUUGCACUUCCUGGAUGAGCCUCUGACGUCUCAAGCAGCAUUGUUUUAAUGCUUUGAUGAAGCUCAGCACGCUGCCGAAAUCUCGGCAGUAUUUUUUCUUUUCUUUUUGCAUGUGAGAGAAAGGACAACAAAUUGCAGUUUUAUCCAUUUGUAUUAUUUCUUUAGAAAACUCAACACUCUUUUUGUUGGAGGUGGGGAAAUGAGAAGGUGAUGUUUUGUUUUGCUUUUUUUCCUAUUUUUUUUUUUUAAAGGAGGAGAAGAUGACAGUGUUCUCCCUAAGGAUGAAGUUUGACUUUUGAAACAUAUCACAUGCUUAAAGCACAUUUGAGCUCCUGCAUGAACAGUAAGCUAGCAGAUGGUAGAAAUAUUCUUUAUUAAUUCAAAAAAUAUUUACUGCGGACCUACAAUGUGCCAAGCAUGUCUCCUGACACUGGGGAUAAGCAGUGAACAACAACAAAAAGACAAACUUCUUCCACCCUGAGGCGUAUGUUCUCGGUCUUUGUGGGAAGAAACAAAUCACAAAAGCAAUUAAGAGAGCUCAAACAAUGGGGUUUAUGCCAGUUACAUACAAGGAUCCUGCAUAUUUCAGGGACCCUAAAGUUUAUAACAUCAGAUAUCCGGAAUAAAUUCCAUCACAUUACCACCAGUAAACUUAUUUUAUAAGAUGGGUCUCACUGUGUUGCCCAGGCUGGUCUCUAACUCCUGGCCUCAAUCAUUCCUGCCUUGUCUUCCCUAAGUGCUGGGAUUACAGCUGUGAGCCACUGUGCCUGGCCUCACUUUUCCAAUUCUAAAGAAUGUGUGUAAGCCUUUCCCUCAACAACUUAUUGAAAGGCGAAAAAAGGUUUGGAAAUAAAAGGAUCUGAUGUUUGAAAAAGUACUUUGUAAAAUAAAUGCA